rnacentral:rRNA from 1 species
GAUGAACGCUGGCGGCGUGCCUAACACAUGCAAGUCGAACGGAGAUUACGGACGGAAGUUUUCGGAUGGAAGCCUGUAAUUCUUAGUGGCGGACGGGUGAGUAACGCGUGGGCAACCUGCCCUAUACAGGGGGAUAGCAGCUGGAAACGGCUGGUAAGACCGCAUAAGUCGGUUAAAUCGCAUGAUUUGAUCGGGAAAUGAGCAAUCAGGUAUAGGAUGGGCCCGCGUCCGAUUAGCCAGUUGGCAGGGUAAAGGCCUACCAAAGCGACGAUCGGUAGCCGGACUGAGAGGUCGGACGGCCACAUUGGGACUGAGACACGGCCCAAACUCCUACGGGGGGCAGCAGUGGGGGAUAUUGCACAAUGGAGGAAACUCUGAUGCAGCGACGCCGCGUGAGUGAAGAAGUAUUUCGGUAUGUAAAGCUCUAUCAGCAGGGAAGAUGAUGACGGUACCUGACUAAGAAGCCCCGGCUAACUACGUG